GGUUCCAUGGCUCAGUUGGUUAGCGCGUGGUGCUAAUAUCAUACCUCACAAGGAUUGAAUGUUAACGCCAAGGUCGAGGGUUCGACCCCCUCUGGAACCA
rnacentral:tRNA from 1 species